rnacentral:rRNA from 1 species
UACGUAGGGGGCAAGCGUUGUCCGGAUUUAUUGGGCGUAAAGAGCUCGUAGGCGGUUUGUCGCGUCGACUGUGAAAACUGGGGGCUUAACUCUCAGCUUGCAGUUGAUACGGGCAGACUUGAGUUCGGUAGGGGAGACUGGAAUUCCUGGUGUAGCGGUGAAAUGCGCAGAUAUCAGGAGGAACACCGGUGGCGAAGGCGGUUCUCUGGGCAUUACCUGACGCUGAGGAGCGAAAGUGUGGGGAGCGAACAGG